rnacentral:tRNA from 1 species
AUCUAAAUAGUUUAAUUAAAAAUUUUAAUUUGUGGUAUUAAAGAUAUAAAAUUUAUUUUAGAUU